rnacentral:rRNA from 1 species
GGACCUACGGGGGGCAGCAGUGGGGGAUAUUGCACAAUGGGCGCAAGCCUGAUGCAGCGACGCCGCGUGAGCGAAGAAGUAUUUCGGUAUGUAAAGCUCUAUCAGCAGGGAAGAAAAGAGACGGUACCUGACUAAGAAGCCCCGGCUAACUACGUGCCAGCAGCCGCGGUAAUACGUAGGGGGCAAGCGUUAUCCGGAUUUACUGGGUGUAAAGGGAGCGUAGACGGCAAUACAAGUCGGAAGUGAAAUACCCGGGCUCAACCUAGGAACUGCUUUGGAAACUGUA